rnacentral:misc_RNA from 1 species
GAUGAAGAACGCAGCAAAAUGCGAUAAGUAAUGUGAAUUGCAGAAUUCAGUGAAUCAUCGAAUCUUUGAACGCACAUUGCGCCCGCCAGUAUUCUGGCGGGCAUGCCUGUUCGAGCGUCAUUUCAACCCUCAAGCCCUCGGGUUUGGUGUUGGGGAUCGGCGAGCCUUUCUGGCAAGCCGGCCCCGAAAUCUAGUGGCGGUCUCGCUGCAGCCUCCAUUGCGUAGUAGUAAAACCCUCGCACCUGGAACGCGGCGCGGCCAAGCCGUUAAACCCCCAACUUCUGAAUGUUGACCUCGGAUCAGGUAGGAAUACCCGCUGAACUUAAGCAUAUCAAUAAGCGGAGGA